rnacentral:rRNA from 1 species
UACGUAGGGGGCAAGCGUUGUCCGGAAUCAUUGGGCGUAAAGCGCGCGUAGGCGGCCCUGUAAGUCCGUUGUGAAAGUCGAAGGCUCAACCUUCGAAAGCCGAUGGAUACUGCAGGGCUAGAGUCCGGAAGAGGCGAGUGGAAUUCCUGGUGUAGCGGUGAAAUGCGCAGAUAUCAGGAAGAACACCCGUGGCGAAGGCGGCUCUCUGGGACGGUACUGACGCUGAGACGCGAAAGCGUGGGGAGCGAACAGG